GACGAACCGUGCGAACGUUGUUCGGAUUCACUGGGCUUAAAGGGCGCGUAGGCGGCGAUUCAAGUCCGGGGUGAAAGCUUUCGGCUCAACCGGAAAAGUGCCUUGGAUACUGGAUCGCUCGAGGGGGUAGGGGCAGGCGGAACUUCCGGUGGAGCGGUGAAAUGCGUAGAUAUCGGAAGGAACGCCGGUGGCGAAAGCGGCCUGCUGGACCCCUCCUGACGCUGAUGCGCGAAAGCCAGGGGAGCAAACGGG
rnacentral:rRNA from 1 species